rnacentral:rRNA from 1 species
UACGAAGGGGGCUAGCGUUGCUCGGAAUUACUGGGCGUAAAGGGCGCGUAGGCGGAUAUCUAAGUUGGGGGUGAAAUCCCGGGGCUCAACCUCGGAAUUGCCUUCAAAACUGGAUAUCUUGAGUCCGGGAGAGGUGAGUGGAACUGCGAGUGUAGAGGUGAAAUUCGUAGAUAUUCGCAAGAACACCAGUGGCGAAGGCGGCUCACUGGCCCGGUACUGACGCUGAGGUGCGAAAGCGUGGGGAGCAAACAGG